rnacentral:rRNA from 1 species
GAUCCUGGCUCAGGACGAACGCUGGCGGCGCGCCUAACACAUGCAAGUCGAGCGAGCGAGAGAGAGCUUGCUUUUUCAAGCGAGUGGCGAACGGGUGAGUAACGCGUGAGGAACCUGCCUCAAAGAGGGGGACAACAGUUGGAAACGACUGCUAAUACCGCAUAAGCCCACGGCUCGGCAUCGAGCAGAGGGAAAAGGAGCAAUCCGCUUUGAGAUGGCCUCGCGUCCGAUUAG